rnacentral:rRNA from 1 species
GACGAACGCUGGCGGCGUGCCUAAUACAUGCAAGUAGAACGCACAGUUUAUACCGUAGCUUGCUACACCAUAGACUGUGAGUUGCGAACGGGUGAGUAACGCGUAGGUAACCUGCCUGGUAGCGGGGGAUAACUAUUGGAAACGAUAGCUAAUACCGCAUAAUAUUAAUUAUUGCAUGAUAAUUAAUUGAAAGGUGCAAUUGCACCACUACCAGAUGGACCUGCGUUGUAUUAGCUAGUAGGUGAGGUAACGGCUCACCUAGGCGACGAUACAUAGCCGACCUGAGAGGGUGAUCGGCCACACUGGGACUGAGACACGGCCCAGACUCCUACGGGAGGCAGCAGUAGGGGAUCUUCGGCAAUGGACGAAAGUCUGACCGAGCAACGCCGCGUGAGUGAAGAAGGUUUUCGGAUCGUAAAGCUCUGUUGUAAGAGAAGAACGGGUGUGAGAGUGGAAAGUCCACACUGUGACGGUAUCUUACCAGAAAGGGACGGCUAACUACGUG